GGUAACAGGUCUGUGGAAUCGGAACAAACAUUCUGACCUUCAAUCUGUUAAAGUUCGAUCUACAAGAGUCGAGAAAGAGUGGCAGUGUCGAUAGAAAAAGCGUCUGUUAUCCAAAUAAAUCAGGGAACCAGUUCAAGAAAGACAAACUUUUUGUGACCUUGAAGAUGCAGGUCAUGCAGAGCUUUGCUGAAUGAAAACACGUCAGUACGACAGGAGCAUGUUGUUGAAAUGAUUUCAAUAUAUAUGAUUGACAUAUAUCCAUAGGACAUGCAGUUAGCCUAGACAAUUCUCUGUAAAGUUCAAGGACUUUCUUAGUCAAAUAUGGGAAGAUGUGAAAGGAUACAUAGAAAUCUUGGAGGACAAAUUGACGAGAGUCUUAAAAGACACAGAUAUGAAGAUAAACAAGAGGAAAAGAAUGCCAGACAUAGUUCAUUUUGUAGUUUAAAGGACUGCAGACUUCCUGAUAUCUUUCAAACUGUUGUGUUUUUUGGUAUAAAUGUAAUAAUGCAUUAUCAUCUUAUUUGUAUAGGCAUAAUUUGUAUAAUUUGGAGUUUAGUAUGACGUCCAUUAUCACUAAACUAGUAUACAUAUUUGUUUAGGGGCCAGCUGAAGGACGCCUCUUGGUGCGGGAGUUUCUCGCUGCAUUGAAGACCCAUUGGUGGCCUUCGGCUGUUGUCUGCUCUAUGGUCGGGUUGUUGUCUCUUUGACACAUUCCCCAUUUCCAUUCUCUAUUUUAUACAUCCUGAAAAUCUUGUUGGUACCUUUUAUCUCCAUUAAUGCAACUGCUAUUUAUAAAACAUUGUUGUGAUUGUAGUUAUAUAUGUGAGUUUAUUAGUUAACUUGUGCGUAGUAAUUGCAUAUAUGAAUUAUUUUAUACCAUAUCUAUCAAUCUUUGUCUUUUAAUUAAGAAAUAAUUUUUAAAACCUUGCUCUUUCAAUCCUAGUACAUCUAUUUUAAUUAUUUUGCAUAGUUUAUAAGUUUAAGUAAUGCCAUUUUAU